rnacentral:tRNA from 1 species
AGGAGUGUAGCUCAGUUUGGUAGAGCAGCGGUCUCCAAAACCGCAUGUCGAGGGUUCGAAUCCUUCCACUCCUGCCA